rnacentral:rRNA from 1 species
AGAACGAACGCUGGCGGCAUGCCUAAUACAUGCAAGUCGAACGAACACUUCGGUGUUAGUGGCGCACGGGUGCGUAACGCGUGGGAAUCUGCCCUUGGGUUCGGAAUAACAGUUGGAAACGACUGCUAAUACCGGAUGAUGACGAAAGUCCAAAGAUUUAUCGCCCAGGGAUGAGCCCGCGUAGGAUUAGCUAGUUGGUGAGGUAAAGGCUCACCAAGGCGACGAUCCUUAGCUGGUCUGAGAGGAUGAUCAGCCACACUGGGACUGAGACACGGCCCAGACUCCUACGGGAGGCAGCAGUAGGGAAUAUUGGACAAUGGGCGCAAGCCUGAUCCAGCAAUGCCGCGUGAGUGAUGAAGGCCUUAGGGUUGUAAAGCUCUUUACCCGAGAUGAUAAUGACAGUAUCGGAGAAUAAGCCCCGGCUAACUCCGUGCCAGCAGCCGC